rnacentral:sRNA from 1 species
AUGCUAGCAAAAUCUAGCGUCGGAAUUGGCGUUCCGAAACCUUUGGCGAUAAGAACACGCCUUUAAGCGUGUUUUUU